rnacentral:rRNA from 1 species
UACGUAGGGGGGCAAGCGUUGUCCGGAAUCAUUGGGCGUAAAGAGCGUGUAGGCGGUCCGGUAAGUCAGCUGUGAAAGUCAAGGGCUCAACCCUUGAGAGCCGGUUGAUACUGUCGGGCUAGAGUCCGGAAGAGGCGAGUGGAAUUCCCCGGGUGUAGCGGUGAAAAUGCGCAGAUAUCGGGAGGAACACCAAGGCGAAGGCAGCUCGCUGGGACGGUACUGACGCUGAGACGCGAAAAGCGUGGGGGAGCAAACAGGG